GCCAAGUCUUUGAAAGUAACAGGUGCCUGCCGUCUCCAACAUCAGGAUACUCACUCUCGAUCUAUCACGAGGCACGCAACAUCAUUUUCUUCAGCAAUGAUAUUGGCUGAUCUGACGUCAUCACUGUAGAUGAAAAAGCCAGGAGAGAAGAGUUCUCCUCCAUCAAAGGAGAAUUACUAACAAACAAGGAGGCAGCACAGAAACUGAUAGAGAAAUGUCCUGGGAAAUGGCCAAAAGUCUUUACUAUGGAGAAGCACCAUUUCACAGUGGCAAUGACUAAGACCCUUAAGGAAGACCACAACCAUGCAACCCGAUGUGUCUUCACUCUGUAACAAACUAAUACACCAGUCUCUUCAGUAAAGCGGCACUGUCCUACCAGAUGGACUGUGGCUGAGGAUCUGCUUUCUAUGCCUCUUGUCCUCAUUCCAACUUCAGUUCCCAUCACCCAAAAGGAGCAGAAAUGACAAAUUUCUAAAGGGCUACCAGACUGUUCUUGAGCUAUUACAAAACCUCUUAUAUGUAGAGAGGUAUGGUUUUCAUUCCUGCCAACCAGCUAAGUUCAAAGGAGACAAGCUUGAAAAGGGACAUUGAGAAAGAGCCUUAUUAUUUCUUAAAGGGCAGCUUCCCCAGUGGAGCCAUCCCAGGGAUGAUUCUUUGUCACCCCAAACCAUGGAAAGAAGGCAAAUAAUACCGCCCAGUGUGUCGACAGUAACUCAUAGAUCAGAAAAGGCUGUGGAAAUAGGUCAGACCAAAAAUAUAUGGUGGUGAUGCUAGACUGGCCAGGAUUUGUCAACCAGGGAAUGCAGCCAGGCGGGCCAGGGCAGCCACCGCAACCAAAAGGAGCAGGGCAAACAAUGUGGUGACUGUCCUGUGGUUCCAUCGCGGAGGGCCCCUUGGAAGACCUAGAAGCCAUGGGCUCUGUCCUGUGCAUCUUCCCUCUGACCCACAAUAAGAAUUUCACCUUACAUGUUUGCUGGAUAUACCCGUAAAAGCACAUAAAAUCCAAACAGUCUUUGAAACCAUGCCUACACUUGCCACUUGGAUU